CCCAAACUGGGAUUAGAUACCCCACUAUGCUUAGCCCUAAACAUAGAUAAUUCUACAACAAAAUAAUUCGCCAGAGAACUACUAGCAAUAGCUUAAAACUCAAAGGACUUGGCGGUGCUUUAUAUCCCCCUAGAGGAGCCUGUUCUGUAAUCGAUAAACCCCGAUGAACCUCACCACCCUUUGCUAAUUCAGUCUAUAUACCGCCAUCUUCAGCAAACAAAA
rnacentral:rRNA from 1 species